GAUGAACGCUGGCGGCGUGCCUAAUACAUGCAAGUCGAGCGAACAGACGAGGAGCUUGCUCCUCUGACGUUAGCGGCGGACGGGUGAGUAACACGUGGAUAACAUUCCUAUAAGACUGGGAUAACUUCGGGAAACCGGAGAUAAUACCGGAUAAUAUAUUGAACCGCAUGGAUCAAUAGUGAAAGACAGUUUUGCUGUCACUUAUAGAUGGAUCCGGGGGGCAUUGGGUAGUUGGUAAGGUAACGGCUUACCAAGGCAACGAUGCGUAGCCGACCUGAGAGGGUGAUCAGCCACACUGGAACUGAGACACGGUCCAGACUCCUACGGGAGGCAGCAGUAGGGAAUCUUCCGCAAUGGGCGAAAGCCUGACGGAGCAACGCCGCGUGAGUGAUGAAGGUCUUCGGAUCGUAAAACUCUGUUAUUAGGAAAGAACAAAUGUGUAAGUAACUAUGCACGUCUUGACGGUACCUAAUCAGAAAGCCACGGCUAACUACGUG
rnacentral:rRNA from 1 species